GACGAACGCUGGCGGCGUGCUUAACACAUGCAAGUCGAACGGAAAGGCCCUUCGGGGUACUCGAGUGGCGAACGGGUGAGUAACACGUGGGUGAUCUGCCCUGCACUUUGGGAUAAGCCUGGGAAACUGGGUCUAAUACCGAAUAGGACCACGCGCUUCAUGGUGUGUGGUGGAAAGCUUUUGCGAUGUGGGAUGGGCCCGCGGCCUAUCAGCUUGUUGGUGGGGUAAUGGCCUACCAAGGCGACGACGGGUAGCCGGCCUGAGAGGGUGACCGGCCACACUGGGACUGAGAUACGGCCCAGACUCCUACGGGAGGCAGCAGUGGGGAAUAUUGCACAAUGGGCGCAAGCCUGAUGCAGCGACGCCGCGUGAGGGAUGACGGCCUUCGGGUUGUAAACCUCUUUCAAUAGGGACGAAGCGCAAGUGACGGUACCUAUAGAAGAAGCACCGGCCAACUACGUG
rnacentral:rRNA from 1 species